CUCUUCCAACUCUAUGAUUCUAUGAUUCUAUAUUUAUGCAUUUCAUUUUUCCACCCUAAAGAACUCUGAAGAACUCUUUCAAGUCAUGGGUAACAAAAGGGCCACCCCAAGAAGAUCCCCUUGUACCCCAUUUUCUGUCUUUCACUUCUCUCCCCCCUCUGUUUAUUUAUAGGGUUCAGAUGCUGGUCCCUGUCCUGCAGAGGCUGAUCCUGGGCCCAGUUCAGACAGGGUCCCAGAACCUCAAGGGAGAACCUCUGAUGAAGAGCGCUGUGUUCAGGAGUCUGACAUGAAUAAUUCUAACUGUUCCAUGACAGAGGACAACAUACAUCUCAUGUGCGACAUAUUCAACACUUCCUCCAAAGAAAAGAAGAGGUCUCUGGCAGAUGGCAUUGCAUCCAAGUGCAUGGACCUGAUGCUGGAGCAUUUCUUGAAAUCAGAAGAAAC